rnacentral:sRNA from 1 species
AACACUUGGUUCUUGUCCCUGAAAAACUUCCAGUCUGUUAGAAGAUAUAGAAAUACAAGGAUGAAUUACUAGUAUGUCCCAGUAAUUGAAAAUACUAAGGCAAGCUUAGUGGAAUAGUGAAGAAGAAAUGAUAAAUCGUGUCUCAGGAAGUAGAGCUCCAGGAAAGGUAUAAAAAGGUUACAUUUGAUAGGCUGGGUUUUAAAGGCGUUCAGCUUCCUUGUCUGUAAUACAAGAAAGAACUGUUGUCAAGUGAGAAAAUCCAUGUGAAAAUGCUUUGUGAAGUUUGUAAAUACUAGCUUUGAAGAUCACACAUUCAAAGUAAACAAGUAUGGAGAUACUUGGGAUGAGUGAAAAAUUACAUCAUUGGACAUGAAGGAGUUUCAACAUCCAGCUUCAUCUAGGUGGUCAUGAUUACCUGCAUGCUUUGAGCUCAGCAGCAGUCUUCAUA